rnacentral:rRNA from 1 species
AUUGAACGCUGGCGGCAUGCUUUACACAUGCAAGUCGAACGGCAGCGCGGGCUGCGGCCUGGCGGCGAGUGGCGAACGGGUGAGUAAUAAAUCGGAACGUGACCAGUAGAGGGGGAUAGCUCGGCGAAAGCCGGAUUAAUACAGCAUACGACAUGAGGGUGAAAGCGGGGGAUCUUCAGACCACGAGGGAUUGGCGCGGACGAUGGCAGAUUAGCUAGUUGGUGGGGUAAAGGCCUACCAAGGCGACGAUCUGUAGCAGGGCUGAGAGGACGACCAGCCACACUGGGACUGAGACACGGCCCAGACUCCUACGGGAGGCAGCAGUGGGGAAUUUUGGACAAUGGGCGAAAGCCUGAUCCAGCAACGCCGCGUGUGUGAUGAAGGCCUUCGGGUCGUAAAGCACUUUUGGCGGGAACGAAAAGGACUGUGCCAAUCUCACCGCUCGAUGACGGUACCCGCUGAAUAAGCACCGGCUAACUACGUG